rnacentral:rRNA from 1 species
UACGGAGGGUGCAAGCGUUGUUCGGAAUUACUGGGCGUAAAGCGCGUGUAGGCGGUUGGGCAAGUCAGAUGUGAAAGUCUUCCGCUCAACGGGAGAAGGGCAUUUGAAACUACCUGGCUAGAGUACGGGAGAGGAGAGUGGAAUUCCCGGUGUAGAGGUGAAAUUCGUAGAUAUCGGGAGGAACACCAGUGGCGAAGGCGGUUCUCUGGUCCGAUACUGACGCUGAGACGCGAAAGCGUGGGGAGCAAACACG